GACGAACCGUGCGAACGUUAUUCGGAAUCACUGGGCUUAAAGCGCGUGCAGGCGGUCCGGCACGUCCGUCGCUGAAAUCCCCCGGCUCAACCGGGGAACCGGCGCGGAUACGACCGGGCUCGAGGGGGGUAGGGGGAUCGGGAACUUCCGGUGGAGCGGUGAAAUGCGUUGAGAUCGGAAGGAACGCCCGUGGCGAAAGCGCGGUCCUGGACCCCACCUGACGCUGAGACGCGAAAGCCAGGGGA
rnacentral:rRNA from 1 species